UACGGGGGGGCAAGCGUUGUUCGGAAUUACUGGGCGUAAAGGGUUCGUAGGUGGCCAACUAAGUCAUACGUGAAAUCCCUCAGCUUAACUGGGGAACUGCGUCUGAUACUGGUUGGCUUGAGUGCAGGAGAGGAACGCGGAAUUCCAGGUGUAGCGGUGAAAUGCGUAGAUAUCUGGAGGAACACCGGUGGCGAAGGCGGCAUCCUGGACCAACACUGGACACUGAUGAGCGAAAGCCAGGGGAGCAAACGGG
rnacentral:rRNA from 1 species